AUUGAACGCUGGCGGCAUGCCUUACACAUGCAAGUCGAACGGCAGCACGGGAGCAAUCCUGGUGGCGAGUGGCGAACGGGUGAGUAAUAUAUCGGAACGUGCCCAGUCGUGGGGGAUAACGUAGCGAAAGCUACGCUAAUACCGCAUACGAUCUAAGGAUGAAAGCGGGGGAUCGCAAGACCUCGCGCGAUUGGAGCGGCCGAUAUCAGAUUAGGUAGUUGGUGAGGUAAAGGCUCACCAAGCCGACGAUCUGUAGCUGGUCUGAGAGGACGACCAGCCACACUGGGACUGAGACACGGCCCAGACUCCUACGGGAGGCAGCAGUGGGGAAUUUUGGACAAUGGGCGCAAGCCUGAUCCAGCAAUGCCGCGUGCAGGAUGAAGGCCUUCGGGUUGUAAACUGCUUUUGUACGGAACGAAACGGUGAGCUCUAAUACAGUUUGCUAAUGACGGUACCGUAAGAAUAAGCACCGGCUAACUACGUG
rnacentral:rRNA from 1 species